UUUGUGUAAAUUAAGAACCUAACAAUGACAAUAAUAUUAUCCUUUAAAAUAACAGUAUCAAAACUAGAACACAAAAAAUUACCUUCUAAAUCCUUUCAAAUAAAAAGAGAAGAAAACGAUUGGACUAACUUCAAAUAAUUUUACCUCUUGAAAUUAUGAUACAUUAUUUUCUAAGUUUUAGUGUAAAAACAUGAAGCACAACAAAAACAGGAAACAUACAACAAAACCUCUAGGGAACAAAAAAUUGUAUCCACAAAUCCAUAAACACCCUUAGCGAGAAGAAAGGAUUUGUGCUCAUAUACUGACCAUUAUCGUAGACUUUAAUGGACGUUGUUAUUAUGAGUGCGGACAUAAAUAACAUACUUUUGGCGGGAAGAAAGGAUGUGAGCAACAUUGAAAACUCAUUAUUCUUUGAAGAUUUGAUGCACUAGACCUUUGAGUUGGUGCAUCCUAAGUGUCUCUAUGGUAUCAACUUUGUGAAUAGAUUUGUCAGGUAUCAAAUUUCUUGCACUUUGCCUUUGCUGCCUAUUCAACAAGAUUUUUUUUCCCAAGACCCCCUUAACCAAAAAUGGAAAGGACCUAAAUGUUUCCUCCAUCUUCAGAAUAAAUAAUUGACCCUUAUCUAUUUCAUUCUCACUUCUUCCAACCAAACCCCAAAUAACAUAGAAAGAAGUCAGGUUGCUUCUUCUCCAAGUACAUGGAUUCAUAAGAAAAAAAGUAAAGAUAUGCAUAUAUAAGAUGAGGAGCAGAGCUAGAGAAAGAUAUGAGAAAGGCAGCCUAGUUGCGAGGGGAAAG
rnacentral:lncRNA from 1 species